CGUAGGUGAACCUGCGGAAGGAUCAUUGUCGAAACCUGCCUGGCAGAACGACCCGAGAACCGGUUUCAAAGCGGGGGGCGGGGGGUCUUGCGGCUCCUCGUCCCUCUAUCUCGGGAGGGCUGCGCUGCGCCCGCGCAUCCGGCCCUUCCGGGCGUACAAACGAACACCGGCGCGAAUUGCGCCAAGGAACUUGAACGAGAGAGCGCGUCCCCGUUGCCCCGGAAACGGUGCGCGCGGGCGGCGUCGUCAUCUUCAAUUACGUCAAAACGACUCUCGGCAACGGAUAUCUCGGCUCUCGCAUCGAUGAAGAACGUAGCGAAAUGCGAUACUUGGUGUGAAUUGCAGAAUCCCGUGAACCAUCGAGUCUUUGAACGCAAGUUGCGCCCGAAGCCAUUAGGCCGAGGGCACGCCUGCCUGGGCGUCACACGCCGUUGCCCCCCCAACUAAUCCCUCGGGAUUGCGGGUUGCGGGGGGCGGACGAUGGCCUCCCGUGCGCUCCGUCGCGCGGUUGGCAUAAAUACCAAGUCCUCGGCGACGCGCGCCACGACAAUCGGUGGUUGCGAAACCUCGGUUGCCCGUCGUGUGCGGUCGUCGCGCAUCGAGGGCUCGAAAAAAAUGCCGGGCUCCGGCUCGGCUUUCAACGCGACCCCAGGUCAGGCGGGGUUACCCG
rnacentral:rRNA from 1 species